GUGUCAGCAGCCGCGGUAAGACAGAGGGUGCUAGCGUUGUUCGGAAUUACUGGGCGUAAAGGGCGCGUAGGCGGCUUGUUUAGUCGGGUGUGAAAUCCCGGGGCUCAACCCCGGAACUGCAUUCGAUACUGGCAGGCUAGAGACCGGAAGAGGUGGGUGGAAUACCCAGUGUAGAGGUGAAAUUCGUAGAUAUUGGGUGGAACACCGGUGGCGAAGGCGGCUCACUGGUCCGGUUCUGACGCUGAGGCGCGAAAGCGUGGGGAGCAAACAGGAUUAGAAACCCUGGUAGUCC
rnacentral:rRNA from 1 species